rnacentral:rRNA from 1 species
UACGUAGGGACCAAGCGUUGUUCGGAUUUACUGGGCGUAAAGGGCGCGUAGGCGGCGUGGUAAGUCACUUGUGAAAUCUCUGAGCUUAACUCAGAACGGCCAAGUGAUACUGCUGUGCUAGAGUGCAGAAGGGGCAAUCGGAAUUCUUGGUGUAGCGGUGAAAUGCGUAAAUAUCAAGAGGAACACCUGAGGUGAAGACGGGUUGCUGGGCUGACACUGACGCUGAGGCGCGAAAGCCAGGGGAGCAAACGGG